AUUUAUAAUUUAUUUACUGGGACAUGAAUCUAAAUCAUUUCCUUUAUUCAACAUUCUGAAAAUAUUGAAGUUUUUCAUGAACAAUUAUAUCACCUUCCAUUACAUGAUGUGUACUUGGUCAUAGAAGAGAUACCAUGAGAUCUAAAUCUUCGCUUUUAAUUCUAGAACCCUACAGACAUCUGGUUACCGUGGUGCUUGGAAUACUGUUGGCUUGCUGUCUGGUUGGGAAUAUUAUCCAGUUCAUAACCAGAAAUAAAAAUAUAGUUUGUGAGCAUUGCAAAGGAAAUCCAAAAGACUCCUACCAUGUUUUACAUGCCUCAGUGAUACAAGAACAACAGGAAGCAGAUUCCUUGAACUACGGUGUGUUGGAGUUCUCCGACAGGAAAUCCAAAGGAAGGAAGAAGAACAGUGAAAGGACUCAGGAGUGUCUGUAUUCCGCUGUGAGAGAAACCUAGGUGUAAAAAGUGAAAGAUGAGAUAAGAAGCUCAAAUAGCUCUUCAUAACUCCAGAAGGUGGUUAAGUUCAUACUAUGUGUUUUAAAUGUGGAUGAACCCACAUACAUUUCUUUUUUGGAGUUUAUAGAAACUUUCAGGCAUUGCUGUAUACAAAUAUCCAUAAGCAGCAUUGUGUUGUGUAUAAUGUUCAGCAAAACCAUACCGACUUAAAUAACAAAUAUGAUCAGAUUAAAAUAUUAUUAUAAUUAUUAUUAUUUUCUUGACGUAAUGUUCUAAACAACUUAGUUAGAUGGACUGCUUUGUGGGAAAAUAACUGAGAAAAUGAUUGCAAUUAAUCUUAUAAAAAUAAAACUUGGAAAUGUACAUUGUUUUUCAUUUAAAAGGAAGGCUGCCACAAUUAUGUUAAGUUGUAUAGCAUGUGAUUGGUGACUUUUUAAAAUGAUAACAACAAUUUAGGAUGUGAAAGGCAGAAAAGAGUAAUACCAGAGAUGAGGCUGAAUCAUUAACAUAGAGGACCCCUGUUUUAGCACAAGUUAUCAACUUGCCAUUUCUAAACAUAACCCCUUUAUAACACAAUGUGGGCGUAUCCAACCAGCUGGAAGGGUUUGACUUGUGCACUGCGUCAACUGGUAGGCUGGAGUUGAUUUUCAUAUAUCUUGACUGACACCUCACACCCAUGUAAACAAACAUUUUUGGCUUCUGAAAUUAGGUUAUACAUAUAUUGGUGUAUUUAGGGGUGAAACGGUUCACAAAACACGAGGUUUGAUAAGAUACGGAAUGGUUUCGGGUUACGGUUCGGAACAGUUUCCAUACAUAGACAAAAUAAAUGCCUGAUCAUUUUCACUUGUAUGUAGAUUUUAAAUUUAUUAUUUUAACAGUAAUCAACAAGGAUAGCUUGGCGAUAUAUAUAGUCAUAUGGAGAUUAUAUAUAUAUAUU